rnacentral:lncRNA from 1 species
UUUUUUUUUUUUUUUUAUUGGUGCAAGUGAGGUCCAAUGCUCCAUGGUUCAUGUUUUGAAAGACAUUUCGUUUUUAGUAAAAAAUUAUUGAACCACUAGGAACACCAAAAACAGUCAAAUCACCUCCGGUUCUUCAAAAUCCGUGUCUGGUUUGAUCGGAUUCACCUGUGUGGUUGCAGAAAUAAGCCAAUGCAGACUAAGCCCGAUCUACUGUGGCUCACAAAUUCAUCACUGGGCUGGACAUAUGAAGUUGCUGCUAAUGUUGCAUUCAAUUAAUUCAAGUUACUCCUUCCAUAUUACUACUAUUUUUUUUCUGGUCUCCCAAUUCUUCUUCACUCGAUAUAUAAAAAUAGCCUUGCAUCUUAAACCCAUAGACCAGAAAAUGGUAACCAAUAAAUUCAUAAAGUAUAUGCCUUCGUCACAAGGUUUGCAAUAUGUAUUUUUUUCUCAAUUUAUUCUUGAACUAGUACUCCCUGCUCAUUCUCAACUCUGAAAAGAAAAUUAUCCUGUCAUAGAUGUUGAGGGAUCUCUUGUACCUAUGAAAGAAACAGGAUAACAAAAAAUUCUUAAAUACACUAACGUUUAGGCGAAUGUCGUGCAUGACUAUCAUCUAUUAAAAUACAAUAUUCCAUUUUAACUUUUUUUGUUAUUCCUUUGAAUUCCAACAAUUAUUUAUUGGGUAGACUAUAAAAUACAAUAGACUACAUAAUAAUAUAUAAUACAAAAAAUAACAAAAAAUUAUUAAAAAAUCCAUUUUUUAGUCAAAAUUUGCUUUUUUUAGUCUGUUAGUAAUGUUAGAACUCAAAGGGACAAGAAAAAAAAUUAAAAUGAAAUGUUCAUAAAGCAUACAUAGCCAUUUAAUAGAUGGUGGAAUAGGGAAUGAUACAUGAAGUGGAGUAAAAGAUCCUUUACGGAAUGUUUGGGCGGGUAGUCAUUGCAUCGACAUCAUGAUUGGAACAUACGAUUUUUUUUUUUUUUUUGAAAAAUGAAUCAUCCUUAUCAAUUGAGUCAAUUUGUGUUGAUAAAAUAUAUAAUAAUUAAUAAAGCGGGACGUCCUGAUCCAAGUUUUCUACCGCUAGUUUAAUGUCAACGAUGUACAUCACCUCUAACAGUGUCCUGAACUGCAAAUUGAGUCAUCUUGGUUGCUGAAUUUUCCGAAUGAAAAACUACUUGAUUUCCAUAUCCACCGCCCCCAGUCUAAUACGAAGUCAACCAGAACAAGAAAAUAAAAUUGAUAUAAUCUAGUAAAAAAUGAUAGAAAAACGUUAAUUGCACUCUCUUUUAUUAAUCUUACUCUCUCUAUCAUUUUUAUAAUAUGAUUUUUAUUUAUUAAAUUGUAUGAUAAAAUAAAUAAUUGAAGUGUGAUUAACAUUAUGCUAUCGUCUGAAUAACUUCAAGCUGACUUAGUCAGCCAUCAUGACGCGGAAAUGAAACCGAAGGCAAUAUUGACUUUUAUCACCCGCAUGGUCUUCAAGAAUCAUCAGUUACCACCUCCAUUGACCAAACCAUCAGUUACCACCUCCAUUGACCAAAGGCACACAAAUUUGCUGUGUUAUCAAGGGGCGAAAACAAACCUUUUCUGAGUCUUUUACUGUAUUUACAGUUAUACACCUAAUUCUAAAUCAUGUAGACACCUAAUAUUUAAACUGUGUAUGCUCAAAUAAACUCAAAUAAACUCUUAUCCAAACAAACUCAUUAUCUUUUUGGAGGCAAUAUUUAAACUGUGUAUGCUCAAAAUCUUUUCUAUUCUAAUAAGAGUUAUAUAUAGAAUAGUUUUCUGCUUCAAACUUAACCAAAGAAUCUCUCAAAACUUCAUGGAAUUAGCAUUUGGUGCCAAAAAUGACUUAAGUUUGAAAUUUGGGUUCAGAAUUUUAUCCCACUGAGAAUAUCAUGUUGGCUGGUGUUAAUGCCACAAGUUUAAUUUGAUUUUCACAACAAAUUUUGGAUAAUAUGCCUAACUUGCCGUUCUGAAGACCAAAUGUAAUUUAGACUCAAAAGGGGUAAAUUUUUUUAUUUUAACAAAAAUUAUUGUGGAAAUAACAUUUGGCUUGUGGCAAUGCCAUUUGGUUUUUGUGAAUUUUUUUAGCGAAGAUAGUGUAGAAUUUAAAAAACAAGAAGGGAGAAAGGAGAACCUGAAACUUAUCCACUAGAUUUUCAUAUUUGUUAUUAACACUUAGAGAUACUUUUCUUUUUUGUGGAAUUUUAGUUUUUGACCCCAUACAAUUAUAGCUUCCACCAGGCCUUCUUAGUCCGAAGGUAAUAUCAUAUAGUUAAAAAACUAAUUUCUUGCUGAUAGCUGCGUCAAAAUCUUCUUUCUGGUUUGAUUCAUUGCAGUUUUUGCUUUCUCAAUAUCCUCCCCCACCACCCCCACCCCCAACAAAAACCCAAAAAAAAAAAAAGAAAGUGUAAACAGAAAAGAGAUCUAUUCCUAAACAUCCCUUUGUUCCUUGUUACACAUGGAAUUCUCAUCAAUUUGGUACUUCUCCUUCUGGUCUCUGGUCAGCCUGGUUUUCUCAACAACCGGAAUAUAUACUUUUCGCAGAGCAAUCAUCCCGGUAUCUGAUUUGGUUGAGUAUUGGAUUGGAUUUGUGGAGGGUUGGAUUGUUUUAUCAGUUAGCUGUUCAGCUACUUAUGCAUUCCUUUGUCGACCUCUAUUGGAGCAUGAUCAUACGCUUAAAACUUCUCAAAGUAACAAAAUUUUCCUGAACUUUAAUGGAGGUUUCACGACAGUUCAUACUCCUUUAACUUCUUUGGCAUUUUUGGCAUACUUUACAACUUCAGGACACAGAUGGAACACAGCAAACACAGCAAUGGCAGCUGCGGUGCUAGUCUCUGCUGUAUUAUGGCUGUUACUGGGCUCAAAACCAAUUACUCAGGGAUUGAAAUAUUCUCAGGCCAUGGGAAACUUCUUAACCGGUUUUGCUGGUCCUUUAAGGGUGUAUCCUCGUCAUACAAUUUUCUGGUUUUUCAUUCAAGCUCUAGUGCUAUCAACUUUAUCUGUUCUUAUAUCUCCAAGUUUGUGGGAUUCACAUUUGAGCUUGAUAUUGAUUCAUGCAUCCAUUCCAAGUUCCCUAUUACUGUUAGCUUCUACGUUGGAGAAAUUAGAGGGAUCAUCAUCUAUGGCAGCAUACGCUUAUAAACAUCGAAAAAUCCUCGAAAUUAUACUGGGAUGUUUGGGAACUGCUUUUGUCCAAUACUACUUCAAAGCCAAAUCUAUCCCUCUCAUGUUAUCUUUCUUGUCUUUGGCUAUUGCCUGGCUGGGGAAUCUCGCGAACGUCCAGCGCUGCACAGAUUUUGGGAUUUUUCAUUUCCUUGUUACUGCAAGCUUGGAGUGUGCUGUGAGUCUAUUUGGUCUCCAUUUUCAUACUUUCCUCGUCGUUGCGGCUGGAAUUUUCUUGAUGGUCUUGAAGUGGAAGAUCGUGGAGGUCGAAUUCGUAUCAUUGAGGUAUGAUGGCAUGCAAGAAAGCGUCCUGAAGGAUUUGAAACGUUUGGAGGAAUUGUAUGGCGGCCAUGACUCCACCAUCCAAACGCAGCAGUUGGAGCAACCCAACAAUAUCGUCUAAACUUGAAGAUGCCAUGGGAUAAGAUGCAUAAUACAUGGGUUAUAUUCUCAUGAAUUACAGUUGAUUAUGUUGAUUUAGCAAAGGAAACGUUUGUUCGUAAUUACAUGUUCUAGGAUUAAAUACCAAAAUGAUUUGUGGUCAAAGGGAUGCGCAUAUAAACUCUCUGUAGUUUUAUCUCUUUAUGGUAUUAACUAGAGUGAAACGUUUAAAUUUCUCUCGUACUUCGCAGUCAUAAAAGUUAGAUUGGUAAUUUAGUUAUCACUUUUUACGUGAAAAUGUAUUGAUUCAAUUUUCUUCAAGGACUAAAGUUGCAAUUUUAAAAGAUGGUCAUCUUUUUCCCCGGGAAGGCCUUUGCCGUUUGUCUUUUCCAACCAUAUUACAACCCUGGCCAAAUUAGAACGACCUGGAUUUCAAAAAGGACAAUGGCCAAUUUCGUCUUUGAACUUUUUUUAUUGGUACCAAUUUAUUUCCUAACUUUUAUUUCUGAUCAAUUUGAUAUUUGAAUUUAUUUUGUAGUUUUAAUUAAAGAUCUUCGUGGUAGCACCACUAUCUAGAAUCAAUCCGACUUCUAAUUAACUAACUAAACAAGAACAUUAUGGGAGCGUCACUCAUGAAAUUGUAAUAAAACAAGUAAAUCGUGUAAAAAAUCACCAGAUAAAACUUUUAAAUUGUGUAAAAAAUCACCAGAUAAAACUUUUUUAGAGUUUAAUCUUGUGAAAUUUAAAAAGUUUAAUCAUGUGAAAUAGUAUGUAUCUAGUCAUGCUUGCCAGUAGAAGAGGUCAUUAUAUAUUGGGUAAAAUACACUUUACUCUUACGUGAUUUAAUGAUUUUUCAUACAACCCUUCCGUAGUUUCAAAAGGCAUGCAUAACCUCUUUAAUUUGUCACCUUUUCCAUCAAACUUUUAGAACCGUGCUUAACAAUUCUGUCAUAAUGUUACAGGUUUCAACGAAGACUUCAGGUCGUCUCAAUUUGCCACCUUUUUGGGCAAACAUUUAGAACCACAAUUAACAAUUCUGUCGUAAAGUUACAGGCGUCGACGAAGACUCAUCAAUUUGGGCAAACAUUUAGAACCAUGCUUAACAAUUCUGUCAUAAUGUUACAGGUUUCCACGAAGAAGACUUCAAGUCGUCUCAUCAAUCUGGGCAAACAUUUAGAACCAUGCUUAAUUAACAAUUCUGUCAUGAUGUUACAGGUUUCCACCAAGACUUCCAAGUCGUCUCGUCGAUUUGUCUCCUUUGCCACCAAACAAUUGGUUGAUGGUUUUCAGCUAGUUUCCACGAAGACUUUCUACUAAACACGUUUAGAACCGUCGUUGGGGCUUUUUAUCAAAGACCGAUACCAAAGAAACCCAAUGCUGCGUCUUCUAAGUACUACCUGAUAAUUAACGACAACGUUCUCAUUAUUAAGUAUUAGCUAUUCAUGGCAUAAACUUGCCCAAUUCAAUGUGGCAAUUAAUUGGAUAUAUUGAAGCCAGCCUUGGUAUGGUUACAGGAUCAAAGGAUACGUUUAUACAACUCAAUGGCCGAAAGUCUCAUUUAAAUAUUUUGAUAAUCAAAAUAAGAAUUUUCCUUUGGCAAAUUAAUUCAAGAUCCAUUUUCAUGAGCUCCAAUUCAAAUGAUCUUCCUCUUUAGCAAUUGAAAUAUCAAAACUCUCCGACAUGUAUCAACUAAUAGACUCAAAGUGCGUUUGAUAAACAUGUAUUAACUCGUAUCAACCAAAAUCUGAGAUCUAAAAUUUGAAAUCUGAAUACUGAACUAUUAAAUAUUGAAUUCGAUAUGACUUGUUAUCUGAAAACACUGAACAUAGUAUGCCUGUUGUAUAGUUAUAGACAACUGAAUAUUGAAUUUUAUAUAUUUUAUAAAAUUGACCUUAUGUUGAUUUAUUCAUUAAUGAUGUUAUUAAAAUGUUAUAUUUAUUGGUAAUAUAUAUGAUUUAAUUUUUUUGAGCAUAGAUAUUUAAAAAUAAAACAAGAAUGAACCACAAAAAUAAAAAUAAAAAUACAAUAUAAAAAAUUUGUCCAAGAAAAAACAAAUUUAUUUGAGAAAAAGAAAUAAAUUUUAGCACAAUCUUCAAUAGCUUCUUUUACUCCCUUGUUAACAUCUGUGAAUACGGUAAAACAAUUAUUUUAACAUAACAAAAGUACAAAAAAAAUUCUUGCAUUUUAACAUAACUUAUCACUUUUUUGUUUGGAGUAUGUUUUGUUGAGACAAUUUAGAACCACUUAAUUAAUUAAGAAGUUUUAAUUUUCUUGAACUUGGGGGACAAACAAUUACUCAGCCCCAAGUUCAAGAAGGUAAAGUGGAAAUAACUUUUUCUUGUACCUAUACUUUAAUGAAAUUUUAAACACAGAGCUUCCAUCUUUCAGGUACGUUUUUGUAUGACAAAAUUGUUUUAUGUUUGCUCUUUUAUUUUUAUGGAUAAUUCUAUAUACAUAUGGUGGAUAUUAGGGUGGUGUGCUUAUAGCAUUGAACCGAGCAUGUAUAACCUUUAAGCCAAGCUUUGUGCUUUAGGGGUACUCUUUUAUUCUUAGCCCAUAGGACAAUGGAUAAAAAAGUCCGCCAGGAAAUAUUUUGGAGACACAAAUUUUACAUUCAACGCAAAAGCAUAAUCAAGGGCGGCUGAUAAUACCAUUAUCUUGUAAUGGGCUCACCCUUCUUCUUUUGGUUACUUAUCCUGCAUAUUAGUGCAUGGAAAAAGGAAAAAAAAAAAAAAACAACAAAGAAGCUAAUUACAAUUUUUUUUAAAAUUUUUUUAAUAAGGGCUCCAAACCUUACAUCGGAGGAGGAAAAGGAAAGAGUUUACGGCAAAUUAUAUUUUACCCCCCUGUGAUUUAUUUAUUUAUUUAUUUUUACAUAACCUUCCUAUAAUUUUAAAAGUUAUACAUAACCCUCUCAUGAUUUAAAUUAAAGUGUCAAAAUGACGAAAAUGAUCAUUCGUAACGGAAGUUUUAAAAUGUCAAAAUUAUCCUUAUAAAUACAUGACAUACUAACUUCAUAUGGUUUUGUGCUUUACAUAUAAUCCCGUUAUGGUUAAAUAGUUUACCAUAUAACCUCCUUAUGGUGUAACACUUUACCAUAUAACCCCCUUAGGAUUUUUAAAAUAUACACAUAACCCCCUUUAGUUAAUAAAUAAUUUUCAACUUUACAUAAGGGUAUUUUAGAUGACUCCGUUACGAAUGAUCAUUUUCGUUAUUUUAAUAUUUUAAUCCAAACCAUGAAAGAAUUAUAUAUAACUUUUGAAAUUAUGAGAAGGUUGGAAUUUGCCCAAGAGUUUAAGACUCAAAUCAGAGAUCUCAUAGUUAUGUAAAUAAUGCCCGGUAUCACCUAAUUUACGUUUCCAACAAAACUAAUCACAAUUUUGUCAUUUAUUAUAUAAGUUUUUGAGUUUUCCAAAACACUACAACCAUCCCUCAUUUCUUUGAUUUUGUAAUUCCCAUUUUUUUGGUUAAUUUCAACCUUUCAAGUUUAGGAUAUUUGACAGAUAUUGAUUAAUUUGGUGAUUUUCUUGUUAAACAUUCUCAUAUUAAUCUAAACUGUAAAAGUGAGGAGCAAAACUGAUUUUCUUUUAAUAAUGACGUGAAUCACCAAAUUGAUAUCCUACCUGCUAAAGUGUGUGGUAUGUGUGUCACGACUGCCUUCCAUUCACGGCAGAACAGCACGCCCGCAUAUUUUCAAGAUAUCACGACAAAUAUGUAGGACUUCCUUCUCUCUCUUGUUUUGGAAUGCAGACUUGAAAUUGUCCAUUUCUCGUCGUUUUUCUUCUAACCUUCACUUUUUGAUGGUUAAAAGGCAACUCAGAUGUUUUAGUUACAUAAAAAAGCUUAUUAUGAGUGUUCAAUGAUGUUUUCAUUGGAGGAAAAAAUACAGAUCCGCAUCAAUUUAUUUGGGCUAACAAAGAUAGCAAAUUUCUCAAGAAUUUGCAUGAAACAAAUAAAUAAAUAAAAUUAUAUUCUGUUUUACUCCCCCCUUAAAUGUUGGGGGAACCUUUGGUUGAUUAAUCCUAGCACAUCAUAAAUCAAUUGGUCCAUGCCAUUGCCAAAUUCGGAUAUUAAAAUUUUCGAACAACUUUUCAUUCUGGAAAUUGUCAGCAUCAGAAAAGAUAAAGUACUUAACAGCUGUGAGACUUUCGCAAGGGCUGUUGUGUGGUUUUAUCACCUUCCUACGAACAUUAACAGCCGCAGCUGAUCCUUUAUCACUUGUAUAAAUGGUACCACCCAUCUGACCUUGUUUCAUCAAAUAACCAAUGUACCAAAGAAAUCCAAUGAGGCAUCCGAAUUUUCUUGAUACUACUUCUUCAUUGCUGUCCUUGUUCUUAUUCAUAACUAUUUUGGUCACCAGCCAAAUUCCACUUGGCUGCACUGGACAAGCUCAUUCUUCAAAUUUCACCUGCAUUGAAAGUGAACGACAAGCUCUUCUUCAAUUCAGAGAUAGCUUGAUAGAUGAAUCAAAUCGUCUAUCAUCGUGGAUUGGAGAAGACUGCUGUUCAUGGGAUGGAAUUAGUUGCAACAAAGUAAUUGGCCAUGUGGUGAAACUCGAUCUAUGCAAUUCGGAACAACUUGGAUUCGAAUUUUAUAGUCAUUGGUAUCAUUGCAGAUCUUGCUUGGCAGGUGAUCAUUUAAGCCCAUCUUUGGUCAAUUUGACCAUUCUGCGACACUUGGACCUGAGCUUGAAUAAUUUUUCAGGAAUCCGGAUUCCCACAUUUCUUGGAUUGCUCAAAGACUUGAGAUACCUCAAUCUCUCAAAUGCAGGGUUUGUUGGUGAAGUUCCCCAUCAUUUGGGAAAUCUCUCGCAUUUAAGGUACUUAGAUAUUGGUGUUGCUUUACGUCGAAUUAUACAAAAUAAAUUGACGAGUAAUGAUCUUGAAUGGGUCGCUAGGCUCUCUUCUCUUGAAACACUGUCCCUAAACAGUGUAGACCUUUCGGGUGCUCAAGAUGUGUUCAGGGCAAUUAACAUGCUUCCUUUGCUAAAAGCACUAGAUUUAGAGGGUUGUGGACUUACCGUUCCUCAUCUUUUACACGUCAAUUCCACAUCUCUUUCUUCCUUGGAUCUCAGUGCCAAUCAAUUUAUCAACCCCACCAUCCCUCCUUGGCUGCGUAACCUUACGGGCCUCCAAGAUCUUAAUCUUCGUUUUUGUUAUCUAGGUGGUGAGGUUCAUGAUACAUUUGAGCAAAUGACAUCUCUAGUUAAACUCGAUCUGUAUGGAAAUCGCUUUGAUACUUCAACAUUGAAAUGCAUUUGCAACAUUAGCAGUCUUACAAGUUUACAGAUGUCCGAAAAUAACUUGCAAGGGUCAAUACCCAGUGAAAUAGGUCAGCUUCGGAAACUAACUCGACUAUAUUUGUUCUUUAAUGAGUUAAAUGGGACGAUUCCUUCAAGUCUUUGGGAACUCACCAAGUUACAAACAUUAGAAGUAGAUAGAAAUUCAUUAACUGGUGUACUAUCUGAACACCAUUUUGUGAAACUCAGAGAGCUAAAUAGUUUGUACAUUUCUUAUAACUUCCUCUCUCUGCACGUGAGCUCCUCUUGGGUUCCUCCUUUCCAACUAAGGCACAUUACGAUGGAUUCUAUCGAAACAGGGCCCCAGUUUCCAAAUUGGCUACGGACCCAAAAGGAGAUUGAAGUGUUAUUCAUGCAAAAUGUGAGCAUUUCGGAUGCCAUACCCAGCUGGUUUGGAGUGCAUUUUAAUUAUCUUAAAGCCUUAGAUCUCUCCCGUAACAAUUUGGAAGGAUCUCUAAAAUCAUUUGCAACAGGUAUUUUGAAUUUGGAUCUUUCACGAAGUUCAUUUGCAGGAAAUAGUAGCUGAUUAUUACUAUUAUUAUUAUUUGAUGCAGCAGUUGCUGAUGUUGAUAAAGAGGCUAUAAAAAUAGAGUCUCUUUACCUCAGUUACAACCGUUUCACAGGUAGUAUCCCAGAAGACUUGUGCAGGCUGAAAACUUUAAUGGUUUUAGAUCUAUCCAACAACCAUUUGUCUGGAAGCAUUCCUUUGUGCUUGGGUAACUUGCGACAUUUGGUCGCCCUAAGUUUGUCAGAUAACAACCUAUGUGGUCAGAUUCCAAGUUCACUGGGUAACUUGGAGGAACUUGGUACUCUGCAUUUGAGCGGAAAUAAAUUUGAUGGGAAGCUUCCAUCGUCAAUGCAAAACCUGAUAAGAUUGCAAAUCCUUGAUCUCGGAGAAAAUGGAAUAAAGGAUAUUAUACCAGUGUGGAUUGGGGAAAGGUUAUCGGACUUGAAGUUUCUGAGACUCGAGUCAAAUAAUUUCCGUGGAGGUAUUCCUGAUAAAUUCUGCCAACUCUUGCAUCUUCAGGUGCUCAACCUAGCACACAAUAAUUUAUCAGGAUUUAUUCCUCACUGCUUUAAUAACUUCACAAUGAUGGUAUCAAGAGAAGCAGCAUCAGCUGACUUGCUAAUGAUCAAUUAUUUUGAAUUAAGACUUCUAAACUUGAAGGGAGGAAGAGAACUUGAGUAUUCAAAAAACUUAUUGUCUGUUAAAUCAAUUAUCCUCUCAGCAAAUAAUUUAGUUGGUGAAAUCCCUGAUGAGAUAAUGGAUCUCGUUGGGUUGCAAAUUUUUAACCUUUCAAAAAACCAUCUAAAUGGGAGGAUCCCCCAGAAGAUUGGCAAUUUGAAGCAACUUGAAACACUUGAUUUGUCGAUGAAUGAACUCAACGGGGAAAUCCCUCCAAGCUUGUCUGGUUUAAACUCAUUGAGCUCCCUGAAUUUGUCAUACAAUAAGCUAUCAGGACCAAUACCAUCUGGAAAUCAACUUCAGACCUUGACUGAUCCAUCCAUCUAUGAGGGAAAUAUUGGACUCUGUGGGAAGCCACUCAACAGCUGCCCUGCAGACGAAUUGCCGACAGAAAAUGGACGGACCCAUUCUUGAUGGUAAAGGUCACAGCGAGUCUGAUUUCUUAUGGUUUUAUGCUGGUUUUGGACCGGGAUUCAGUGUUGGUGUCGUGGGAGUUUUGGGAAUCCUUCAAUUCAAGAAGACAUGGCGCGAUGCAUUCUUCAAAUUUUUGGAAAAUGCCAAUGACAGAAUUUGGGUUAUGAUCACAUUGAAGACUGCUCGGCUACGGAGGAAUUUCCAUCAAGUAUAUGUACAAAAGCGCUUAUAUUCUGUUUUUUCUUAUUCUGCAAUAAGGUGCCACAACACAAUUAGCUGGUUAUCCAUAACUACUUGAAUUUGAUAAUAAGCACCUAAGUGCUCAAAACUAAGCAUUUAGGUUUAGUUAUGCUAUAAUCCUCUAUGAACAAAUGAAUCCGAGUGCUUAAAUAGAAAACCAGGAUUGAAUAUUAUUAUCUAUAGUUGGUUGAUCUAAGAUAUCAAAAUUUCUACAGAAACAGUAAGAUAGUGGAUAUAAUCAUAUAAAUUUUUUUUGUUAAUAUUUCUUGCAAGUCUAAACAUUAUUUUUUCUAAUACUAGCAUAUUGGGAUACAUACCAUAUAACCGCCAUUCAAAUAAAAAAUUCUACUUCUACAUGACUGUCAAGCAUCAAAAUAAAAUUUCAUAGCAACAAUGUUUGAAAUGUCAAUUCUAAUUUUUUUUCUUCGCCGCGAAAGACAUAAUAAUAUACUUGAACCAAUUUGUCUUACAUAAAUUAAACGUAAGUAACUGCUAAUCAUGCGUUCAUGUUUUUAAAAUUUUUUUUCAUACCAUAAUAUGUACAGAAACAAAAAUAUUCUGAGUCUUUGGAAAGUGUUUAUUCUACAUCCAAUGAGCAAUGGAGGAUGAAAGGGGUUUUCUUUUUCCUUAAAGAACACUUGCUAACAUUUGUAUUUUGUUGUGUUUCAGUGUGCUAUGCCUAUAACCAUUCAAGUUGUUAGUGCUAUUGUGGGAUGUGGUUUUAGAAAGGAGACUUUCUUCCAGGUGUUUUGAGAAGGGAUAUUACUAGUUUUAUUGUGUCGUUUUGUGCCUACAUUUCGAAAUAUGGUAUCUCCAAAUGUAAAUGUAAUCUGAGGAUUAGUCCUCCUCCUGUAAGCUCCGAGUUCUACAUCAAUAAAAGGGUUUAUAUGUAUUCACAAAAAAUAAACUGCAGUAUUAAUUUGUUGGAUUAAUCCUCUACACACUGACAGUAUAUACACUUUCACAAUUGGAUACAUGACACAUAAUUCAAAUUUGAAUUUGAAACCCAAAUUUUGUAUAUGUGUCACACAUCCAACCGUGAUAGUGUAUGCACUAUCAGUGUAUAUAAGAUUUGCUCUAAUUUAUUUAUGCAGAUUAAUUUAAGUACUUGACUCCAUGUAAUCUUAACAGGUAAUUAAUCAUCAUUUCACUUUGGCAUUAGAAGUAAAAAUUUUUGUAAAAAUUACAUAGGUGACAGGAGAGAGAAGAUAGUAGAAGAAUGCCACGGAUUAUCACUUGCAAGUAGCAAUCCCUGUGCAAAUACUAGUCAAGCUCUGGAAAUCUAAGAGAUUUUCCUCGUCUCUUAUCCAUAAAAACUUGGUAAUGGAUGGACAAGUUAAAAAAUGUUUCUCUUUUGUACAAUGGUAUAGUACUUUUAUAUACAGGAACAAGCUAGUUUAUUUCUUUUUUCUAUAUCUCAUGCAAGAUUUGUGGACUAAAUUGCUACCCAAUAACCCUUAUAUAUUUAGAAUCAAAUCUAAUUAUUUCUCUUUAACUAUUUUUGUUUAAUUUUGAUUGAAACUGCAUACAGAUCAAUCCCAAUAUUAAUGCUGCAAAUUCUUUGAACUUCCAAUGAUUUCCUCUGGAAAUAUAUCCAAAAGUCGCAAAUAGGCUUGCCAUUUAAGUCAACUUUGUUAGGCACCCAAAGGCUUUAACUUGAUGAAGUAGCUUCCGUCGCAUGACUACACAGCUUUUCCAAUAGGGCAAAUUACAUUUUAUCCCCGGUUUAAUAUUUUUUUUAUAUAAUCCCCUUAUAGUUUUAAAAACUAUACAUAACCCCCUCAUGAUUUAAAUUAAAGUGUUAAAGUAACGAAAAUAGUCAUUCGUAGUGGAACUUUUAAAAUGUCAAAAUUACCCUUAUUAUGUCAUAAGAAGACAAAAGAUUAAUAAUAAAGGUUAAUGAGAAGACAAAAGAUUAUAAAUAGUUAAUGAGAAAAUAAAGGUUACAUUGAUGAUUAAAUUCACUAUAUUAUGUCAUACUGAUUAGAAAACUCCAAAGAAAAAAGAGUAAAUCUUAUAUACAUUAACAGUAUAUACAUUAUCACCGUUAAAUCCAUGACAUUAUGUGUAAAAGUUAGGUUUUAAAUUCAAAUUUUGCAUAAUUAUUAUUUAUCUAAGACUGACACGGUAUACACUGUCAAUAUAUAUAAGAAUACUCUUAGAAAAUUAUCAAUAAUUAUAAAAAGGACAAAUUACACUUGACCCUCUAUGGUUUAGUUUUUUUUUUUACACAACCUUCCUAUAGUUUCAAAAGUUAUACAUAACCUCCUCAUGAUUUAGAUUAAAGUGUCAAAGUGAUAGAAAUUGUCAUUCAUAACGGAACUUUUAAAAAUGUCAAAAUUAUAAUUUUGGAAAAUAUAUUUUUGCACGUUGAGUUAUUACUAGUAUAUAUUAUAUUCUGGAGAAGAAAAUGUUUAAGAGGACAGUUUGGCAUGAGAUAAAACUAAAGUCACUAUAUUCCGAGGUCUAAGGCACUACCACCAACACACAAGGCGACUAUAAAUUACAGGACAAAUUACAUUUUAUCCUCUAUAGUUUAGUAUUUUUGUAUAUAACCUCCGUAUACUUUUAAAAACUAUACAUAACUCCCUUAUGAUUUGAAUUAAAGUAUCAAAGUGAUGGAAUGAUAAUUCGUAACGAAACCUUUGAAAAUAUCAAAAUUUCCCUUGUUUAAAAAUUAAAAUAGUUGAAGUGACCAAAAUAUAUAAACAUAAUAUACAUGACUCAUUAAUCCCGUAUGAUUUUAUGUUUUACCAUAUAACCUCUUUAUAGUUUUCAAAAUAUACAAAUAAUCCCCUUGUAGUUAAUAAAUAAUUUUCAACUUUACAUAGGAAUAUUUUUUACAUUUUAGAUGACUCCGUUAUGGAUUGCAAAUUUCGUUAUUUUGACACUUUAAUCCAAAUCAUGAGUGAGAUAUGUAUAACUUUUGAAAUCAUAGGGGGAUUAGGUACAAAAAUACUAAACCAUAGGGAGGUAAAGUGUAAUUUACCCUAAAUUACAUGUCGCCUAACAAUGAUGCUUUAGUUCAUAGCGCGUCACGAAUCGGGUACAUUCUGUGCACAACUCUUUCUUCUUCUUUUUUUUCCCUUUUUAUUUGGGGACAUUGGAGACCGCUUGUGUGGAAUUUUGACUACUCUCUUCUUUACUUCCUUCCAUCCUUGGUCCAAUUUGACAGCAGAUUCUGAAAGAUAUUUUCACGGUGCGGACAAAAACUACUGAACCACUCGUGUGAAAGGAAGCAACAAUAUAGCACAGUACUACCAUAUUUCUGUUCCCUGACCCACGAGUCUAAAGUGCUGGUCUAAUGAUAAAAAGUGUUUGGAUCUAAAUAAGAAAUACUGUACUAAAUAAGCACUAAAAGGUAAAAACAAAGUCUAGAGAAGAGUCAGAAGACAUUGCUUCUUUGUGCUAUACCCUCUGGAAAUGUAUCUAUGUCCAUGUACAAAGAGUGAUGGCUUAUGUUGCUAUCACUUCCCUCAAGCAAACAUUAGACCAGCUCAAGAUGAAUUGCAAAUUAGAAUUCACAUUUGAUGAAGUAAAACAGUUCAAAGCUGUAUCUGAAGAGAUUUCUGUCAUCCAAGAAAUGCUUCAAGCUUCUGCAGAUAGGAGCUAUGAUCAUACCAUGAUGAAACAUCUGGAGAGAGGCAUAAGAGACAUGGCGCAUAAAGCGGAAGAUUUUAUUGAAGAAUUUGUGUAUAUCAAAGCAGAGGCCCUGGAUGAUGCUGCUAUCUUUGAGGAGGAGCUGAGUCUUCACCAUCAUAUGAGGGAGGUUUUGAGUGAGAUAAAUUCUAUCAAGGAUAUGUUGACAAAGAUUUACCAAGAAUCAGAUGCAGCUGCAACCAAAGUUCCGCGAGCUAGGAAUCAUUCGGUGGAGCAUGCAUCAGGAUGGUCUUCAACUCAAGAGGAAACUCUUGUCGUGGGAAUAGACAAUGAUCUGUUAAAAGUCAAGGAGAAACUUACAGGACUGCCACAUAAACUGGACAUUCUUACAAUUGUUGGGAUGGGUGGAAUAGGUAAGACAACCCUUGCUCGAAAGGUAUUUAAUGAUCCUUUGAUUGAGUAUCAUUUUUAUGUACGUGCUUGGGUUACAGUAUCACAGAAAUAUGUACUGAGAGACGUGUUACUAGGCCUUUUGUGUUCCCUCACCAGACUUGGUGAUGAAAUUUUCAAAGAAAAGAAUGAUCAAUUAGCUGAAUUAUUGUAUAGAACUUUGAAGGGUCAGAGGUAUCUUAUAGUUUUUGACGCUGUAUGGGACGGUAAGAUCUUGUAUGAUCUCAGAAGAUCUUUCCCAGAUGACAGGAAUGGAAGUCGAAUAGUGUUGACUAGUCGACUAAUAGAUGUCAAUAUGUGUGUAAUCUGGACAGCCAUCAUCAUCACAUGAGUUUCCUGAGUCUAAAUGACAGUUGGGAGCUGCUGCGUCACAAAGUGUUCUCGGAAGAAAGUUGCCCCCCAGAGCUAGAAGUUAUUGGGAAAGAAAUUGCUCAGAAAUGCCAAGGAUUACCAUUGGGAAUUCUAGCCGUAGCAGGUCAUCUCUCCAGCAUCAGAAAAACAAAAGAUUGCUGGAAGACUGUUGCAGAUGACAUACGAUCACCAGAGUCUAAAGAUCAAGAGAAUUGCUUAGACAUUCUUGCCUUGAGUUAUAAGUCUUUGCCUCAUCACCUCAAAGCUUGCUUUCUAUAUUUGGGAGCUUUUCCCCAAGAGUUUGAGAUCCCUGUCUGGAGAUUGAUCAGGCUUUGGGCGGCUGAAGGAAUUCUCAGAGCAGAAUGGCCAGAGACCCUCGAAGAAGUGGCAGAGAUGUGCUUACAAGAGCUAAUGAGUAGAAGUCUAGUUAUGGUUAGGAAGAGAAAAUCCAAUGGUGGUAUUAAAAGUUGUGGCAUCCAUGAUCUCGUGAGGGACUUGAUCUUGAGAGAAGUUGAAAGAGAAGAUUUUCUUCUGGUGCUGAAGUCAGAUGCUAAUUUCUUUCCCACAGAUGCCUAUUAUAAGCGUUGCCUCUGCUUCCAUCAUCAAAUAAGCAGAUCCUAUGGUAUGUUUAAUUCCAGCAGCAGGAUAGAACAUUGUGACUACAUGAAGCCUGCAAUUCCUCAUUGUCGAUCUAUUCUCUUUUAUGGUCGACUUCAAGUGACAGAAUUCGAUAAGAUGCUAGAUUCUCGUGUUACUGUGAUGGAUUUGAAGUUGCUGAGGGUACUAGAGAUUCUUUUUAGGUUCUUCGAGCAUUUCCCUGUUGAGAUAACGCAGCUAGUUCAUCUGAGGUAUCUUGCACUUUCCGCUCGUACUUAUUUUGGUACAUGCUUGUCCCAGCUGGGGAAUCUACAAACACUAAUUAAUGAGCAUGACAGGAAUGUAACUUUACCUAGUGACAUAUGGAAGAUGCCUCGGUUAAGAUAUCUUCAUAUAAAGAAUGGUGCUUGUUUGCCCUAUCCUGCAGGAGCCAAAGCUAUUGCAAGCAACUCUCUUGUCCUAACCUACCUACAUAAGCUUUCAACUGUAAGCUUUACCAAUUGUUAUAGGGAAACGUUUGCCUGUCUUCCCAAUUUAAAGAAACUCGGUAUCUGUGUGAAGCAACCAUCACAUAAUUGCCUUGAUGAUCUUCUUUACCUUGCUGAACUUGAAAAACUUAAAUGUGUCUUUCUGGGAAGAGGUCAAUUCUCCGGUUGGAAUGCUUUCCCACCAAAACUUAGGAAACUGACCUUAAACGGGAGCUUUCUGCCAUGGGAGAAGAUGAGAACUCUUGGUUUGUUACCCAAUCUUGAAGUACUCAAACUGAAAGACUAUGCUUUCCAAGGGCCAGAAUGGCAAGUGGAAGAAGAUGAGUUUUGUCAACUAAAAUAUCUGCUAAUUGAUGGGACAGAUCUAGUUCAGUGGGGAGUAACUUGUUCUCAUUUCCAAAGGCUACAGCAGCUGAUUCUGAGAUGUUGCAGACACUUGGAUGAAAUACCAAGUGAAGUUGGAGAAAUUCCUACCCUGCAAAUAAUUGAUGUGGAUGAUUCCAGCAGUCUUGCCGUGAAUUCAGCAAGGCUUAUUCAGCAAGAACAAUACAGCAUGGGAAACGAUGGCCUAAUAGUCAGGAUACAUCCUAGAGAAUAGAGAUUGAUAGAUCCAUGGAGAAACUUCAUUAGAGAUGUCAUCCCUUGUAUACUUGUUUCUGUUAUAACAAAUUAAUCAAGUUCAUUUUUAUCCAAAAUUAGACAGUUCAUUGCCAAACUUUUUUAAUCAAAUUGCCAUGUUCUUCUUCACGUUACUUUUUCUGAUCUCUUAGUCAUUAAUCUGUACUUGCUUUGUGACAUGCUAACACUGAAGUGGUAGAAGAGCUCAGGUCUCUCAUGCUAUCAGGAUUCAGAUCGUGAGAAGCCAUUCUGGUGAUUGUUCUUAUGUCUUUUGUUGAUCAACUUCAUAAUCUGACUUUGGCACAAGCACAUUCCUCCUUACUGGCCACCCACAGGUGUUUGUGAUGAACUAAAAGUGCAUCAAAAUUGACCCAGCUUCGAUCUAUCCAUUCCAAUAUUUUUGGUGUUAUAUUUCAAUCUUGGAGUUUCUCAGGUCUAUAUAGCUCCUACAUAAUGGAUGAUUGUUAUGUUUUUUUUUUUUUUAAGCACAGGUUAAAAAACUUUGUUGUACAUACAAAUCUUAUUAGUGAAUACUGACACCAAUGUCUAAAGACAGUUGGCUGAAAUUCCUAGUGGAGUUGGAGAAAUUCCUACUCUGCAAAUAAUUGAUUUGGAUGAUUCGAGCACUCUUGCUGUCACUUCAGCUAGGCUUCUUCAGCAAGAACAAGAAAGCAUGGGAAAUGACAGCCUCAUUGUCAGGAUACAUUCCAAAGAUUAACGGAUCCAUGAAGAAACUUCAUGACUCCAUUAAUGAAGUUGGCUCUUCUAGACCAUUUUUUUUUUUUGUCAAUAAGUUGAUCAUGUUGCUUCUGAUUCUCUUAUUGGGAGUUCAUAGCUGAAAAUGUUUUAUAUGUUGUUGUCUGCAGAGCUGUUCUUCAAUCAUGUUAACAUUUUGUUAGCUCUUAAUUCACUAAUCUGUGCUUGCUCUGUAGCAUGAAGAUUGUACAAGAGCUCGGGGCUCUCAAGAAUUCAGAUCGUGAAAAGCCAUUUUGGUGAAAAUUCUUAUUGAUUUCUUCAUUAACAUUAUUUAAGCCUGCACAAUGCGCAACCCUCACCUUCGGAUUUUGUACUUCAAUUCUAUUUCAAAUUUUCUGGAUAUGAUAGUUAAUUCCAAAAUCUCAAACAGGGCCAUUAUAUAAUAGAUGUACAUGAUAUGAUAUUUUUGAUGUUUCUUAUUCCACCAUCCAACACCGCCCCCCCGGGCCCAACAAAAAAAAAAAAAAACUAUUGUUUGAAAGAUGAAGUGUAAGGGUCACUAAAUAGUUUUAAUAGGAAUUUUUUAAUUUUACUUACAAUUAUUAUUGAGAUUUAAUCAUGUGGAAUGUUACAUAUUUUAAAUUACUACCAUAAUUAAAAUGCAUUAACUCUAAUUGAAAGAUGGGGAGCAAUAUGGGUACAACAAAAACUAAGAUCACAAAGUGCCUACAACUUACCAUACCACUAAUCAUACUUUUAGUAUAGUAAUAGAUAGAUACACACAUCCAAGGUUUGGCAGUAUAGUAUAGUUGAAAGCAGCAUUCGAACAUUACAACACAUGGACAAAGAAGAAAAGGAACCAUUUGAUUUUUGGGAGUGAAGUAUUUUCAGUCCCCAGCAGUCUCUUUUCUCACAUUUGAACAUCUCAUUGGAUCUUUAUGUAAAAGGCUUAAUCAAGGACAGCAUACAAUUUAAAAAACAACUAAACAAUGAAGGGAAAAAAACAAGUUGUACUUAUUUAAUUGAUGUAUGCACCGUGGCUAGGCGU